AUUGAACGCUGGCGGCAGGCCUAACACAUGCAAGUCGAACGGUAACAGGGAACAUGUUGCUGGUUUGCGGGGGAGUGGGGGGCGUGAUGCCUAUGACUGGGCCACGUCGUGGGGGAUGACGUCCGGUACUGGACACGGAUACCGCUUCCGCACUGCGGCACAAAGCCGGGGAGGGUGGGCCUCCACGCUCUCUCCUUCGCCUGUGCCCAGAUGGGCUUAGCUUGUUGGAGGGGGAAAGGCCUACCAAGGCGACGAUCCGUAACUGGUCUGAGAGGAUGAACAGUCACACUGGAACUGAGACACGGUCCAGACUCCUACGGGAGGCAGCAGUGGGGAAUAUUGGACAAUGGGCGAAAGCCUGAUGCAGCCAUGCCGCGUGUAUGAAGAAGGUCUUCGGGUUGUAAAGUACUUUAAGUGGGGAGGAAGGGAAUAAAGUUAAUACCUUGCCGUAUUGACGUUACUAACAGAAGAAGCACCGGCUAACUUCGUG
rnacentral:rRNA from 1 species